CAGGAGGGGGCAAGCGUUGUUCGGAAUUACUGGGCGUAAAGGGCGCGUAGGCGGCCUGCUAAGUCGAACGUGAAAUCCCCGAGCUCAACUCGGGAACUGCGUCCGAUACUGGUUGGCUUGAAUCCGGGAGAGGGAUGCGGAAUUCCAGGUGUAGCGGUGAAAUGCGUAGAUAUCUGGAGGAACACCGGUGGCGAAGGCGGCAUCCUGGACCGGCAUUGACGCUGAGGCGCGAAAGCCAGGGGAGCAAACGGGAUUAGAUACCCCGGUAGUCCUGGCCCUAAACGAUGAAUGCUUGGUGUGGCGGGUAUCGAUCCCUGCCGUGCCGAAGCUAACGCAUUAAGCAUUCCGCCUGGGGAUACGGUCGCAAGGCUG
rnacentral:rRNA from 1 species